AAGUGACAUCAGUGCAGUCUGCCUGUAGUUUUCAAGGGUGUCAGGAUCAAGGGUGCCAUGAUUUUAACCUGUCAAUCAUCAAUAAAACUGUAAGAACUCUUGAAAUGCCGUAUCUUUUCAUUUUGGAAAACUAAUUUUGAUUGUUCUCCAAACAAUCAAAUUGUUUGGAGUUUUGACUGGAAAGGCAUUACUUCCAAAAGCAAAAUCCCCUGUUAAUAGUUCUCAAGAUUUUCCUUUUCCCUUUUUAAAUAUCAUAAAAUCACAGAAUAGUUUGGGUUAGAAGGGACCUUCAAAGGUCAUCCAGUCCAUCCCCUCUGCAGUGAGCAGGGACAUCUUCAACUAGAUCAGGUUGCCCAGAAGCACAUCCAGCCUGGCCUUGAAUGUCUCCAGGGAUGGCACAUCAGCAACGUCUCUGGGCAGCCUGUGCCAGUAUACAUAUUGAUUAGUAUCUGCAAAGUAAAAAUUUAAGUGAAGCCUUUAUGUUCCUCAGCACACUUAGCACAGACAGGCUAAAAACUAACAGAGCACAGAGCAGUAUCACAACUGUGAUUGGAUACUGGGGAGGAGUCAGUGCCGCACCUAAAAGUGCACGUGUGGCUAGGUCACUCUCCAUAGGAACUGCAUUCGGGGAGCCUGGGUAUCAGUUCAAGAAUUCCCACCUGAAUGCAGUUUUUAACACUGUUCAAAGUUUCAUUAAUUACUACACAUUCUAGUGUCUGCUGUUCCCAAAAAAGUAUGUUCAGUGAAUGAGAGCUCAGGUUGAAAAAUUAGAAUUCAGAGCUGAAUUCUUACUCUUAUCCUAAUCAAAACUGGGUGUAUUGAGGAAAGUGACUGUGGGUAUCUUGUAUCAGCUGUACAAUAGUACAGUUGUACUAUUUCAGUGUUUCAUGUAAGCACAACAGUCCCAGCUGGAUUUGUGACUUACUUAGAAAAACACAUUUAGAACUUGGUUUUGGAUUUGGCCUUGACUUGGAUUUUCUUCAUCCUAAAAUACAGAUAGUUAAUGUCGAACUAAGUGAGUUGCUUGCAAGAAGACAAACAUCUGUUGUUUUUCAUGCUCCCAGCAGAUGCAGAAAGAUGAGUUGCUAUGUUGGUGCAAAAUUGAAGAAAAUUGCUUAUAUGUAACCAGGAAGUACUGAAGUGAUACGAGACUAUAUAAACAUUUAAACAUGAAAUACCUUGUUCGUUUAGUAAAAAAUCCAAAGAAAAUGUGAUACUAGUGAAGUUUGUCUUAAAUGACCAAUAAAAAUAUGCUGC
rnacentral:lncRNA from 1 species